rnacentral:rRNA from 1 species
GACGAACGCUGGCGGCGUGCUUAACACAUGCAAGUCGAACGGAAAGGCCCUGCUUUUGUGGGGUGCUCGAGUGGCGAACGGGUGAGUAACACGUGAGUAACCUGCCCUUGACUUUGGGAUAACUUCAGGAAACUGGGGCUAAUACCGGAUAGGAGCUCCUGCUGCAUGGUGGGGGUUGGAAAGUUUCGGCGGUUGGGGAUGGACUCGCGGCUUAUCAGCUUGUUGGUGGGGUAGUGGCUUACCAAGGCUUUGACGGGUAGCCGGCCUGAGAGGGUGACCGGCCACAUUGGGACUGAGAUACGGCCCAGACUCCUACGGGAGGCAGCAGUGGGGGAUAUUGCACAAUGGGCGGAAGCCUGAUGCAGCAACGCCGCGUGCGGGAUGACGGCCUUCGGGUUGUAAACCGCUUUCGCCUGUGACGAAGCGUGAGUGACGGUAGUGGGUAAAGAAGCACCGGCUAACUACGUG